UGUUGGAAGUGCAUACUAUGUUGCCCCGGAAGUGUUAAAUCGAAACUAUGGGAAGGAGAUAGAUGUAUGGAGUGCUGGAAUCAUUUUGUACAUUCUUCUAAGUGGGGUGCCUCCAUUUUGGGCAGAGAAUGAGAAAGGAAUAUUUGAAGCAAUUUCAAAAUACCAACUUGACUUACAAAGCAAACCAUGGCCUGAAAUUUCAUCUUCUGCGAAGGACCUCAUCAGGAAAAUGUUAGCAAAAGACCCUAGGAAACGGAUCACCGCUGCCCAAGCACUUGAGCAUCCAUGGCUGAAGGAGGAUGGCGAAGCGUCUGCAAGGCCAAUUGAUAGUGCUGUUCUAAAAAGGUUGAAGCAGUUCAGAGCAAUGAACAAGAUGAAGAAACUUGCUCUGAAGGUAAUAGCAGAAAACCUUUCAUCAGAAGAAAUCAAGGGCUUAAAACAGAUGUUCCACAACAUGGACACUGAUGGAAGUGGUACGAUCACAUACGAAGAACUCAAAGUAGGAUUGGCAAGACUAGGAUCCAAGCUUACAGAGGCAGAAAUAAAGCAGUUGAUGGAUGCUGCUGAUGUUGACAACAGCGGGACUAUUGAUUAUGUUGAAUUUAUUACAGCAACAAUGCAUCGCCAUAAACUUGAGAGGGAAGAUCACUUGUUCAAAGCUUUUGAAUACUUUGACAAGGAUAAGAGUGGGUUUAUCACGAGAGAUGAACUACGACAAGCCAUGGCUCAAUAUGGUAUGGGAGAUGAUGCUACUAUAGAUGAAAUCAUUGAAGAUGUUGAUACUAAUAAAGAUGGAAGAAUCAACUAUGAGGAGUUUGCUGCCAUGAUGAGAAAAGGGACACAAGAUAAUGGGGAAAAAUUGAAGUAAAUUUGGCCAAUAAUCCCUCCCUGUACCCGUUUCAAAUAAGUCUGCAGUUUCUAAUGUUAACUAGUUCCUUAACACUGCAGCUCUUGUAAAUAAAUGUUAUUGUUCAAUGUUCAUCACAAUUCCGUGAAC
rnacentral:misc_RNA from 1 species